UACAGAGGUCUCAAGCGUUGUUCGGAUUCAUUGGGCGUAAAGGGCGCGUAGGCGGCGUGACAAGUCACUUGUGAAAUCUCCGGGCUUAACUCGGAACGGUCAAGUGAUACUGUCGUGCUAGAGUACAGAAGGGGCAACUGGAAUUCUCGGUGUAGCGGUGAAAUGCGUAGAUAUCGAGAGGAACACCUGCGGCGAAGGCGGGUUGCUGGGCUAAUACUGACGCUGAGGCGCGAAAGCUAGGGGAGCGAACGGG
rnacentral:rRNA from 1 species